AAACAUGUCGGCUCGAUGAAGCUUUGAAGUGUAUCCAUGUAGGGUUUUUGUGUGUUCAAGAAGCUCCAGCUGAUCGACCAACAAUGUCUUUAGUAAUUCGUAUGCUGCAGGGCAAUGAAUCUACAUCUCUUCCACCUUUCAAAGAACCUGCCUUUUCAACACACAGAAAUUCCAGUCCUGUUUGUUCUUCUCAAACACCUACCAUUUUUUCCCACAACACAGUCACCAUGAGUUUGCCAGAAGGUCGAUAGGCGUUGGAAGAGCGGUGACUGGCAAGCAGUUGAGAAAAUAGUAUAGUAUAUUAGAAUAAACACCCCGACAACUAGCUGUUUUAUACAACACUUAAAGGGUUCAAUAUGUAUUUUCUAAAAUGUAAAGUCUAAUAUGCCAGCUAAGGAACUGUAUGUGAUGGGUUGAAUAGUUGACUUAAGGGCUUAUAGGUUAAGUUCCAGUAACUUGCAUACGUUAAAUCUUUGCCUGCCUGCUGAAUUCUUUGUGCAGCCAUGAAUACCAAACCAAACUCAAAGUCCGUGUUCUCCGUUAUUUUAUUAUGUGCAUUUCUCGAGUCCCAUGUUUCCUUUGCAGCUGACACCAUUAGCGAAAACCAAUCUCUCUCUAGGCAAUCAAACCAUUGUUUCUGCAGGUGGGAUGUUUGAGCUAGGUUUCUUCAAACCAGGUCAGCUUUCAAACUACCAUAUAGGCAUAUGGUACUCCAAGCAAGUAGUAUCCGAGAUGACCGUUGUUUGGGUAGCAAAUAGGGAAAUACCUUGGUAUCUGAUAGAUUUUCUUCUGUGUUGACCAUCUUAGAUGGUAAUUUAGUUCUCCGGAACAUGUCCAAAAACCCGGUUUGGUCAACAGAUUUAAACUCCACCACCAGUUCUGGUUCUGUACAAGCAGUUCUUUUGGAUAGCGGAAACCUUGUCUUCAGAGCCGGCUCUAGUAAUAAUACGUCAGAGCCUUUAUGGCAAAGCUUUGAUCAUCCAACCCAUACUUGGCUACCAGGAGGUAGACUCGGAUUCAACAAAAUUACCGAUCAUGCCCAAAUUCUCACUUCAUGGAAGAAUUUGGAGGAUCCUGCGCCAGGUCUUUACUCUCUUAAGCUAUCUCUGGAUGAAAGCAAUUCAUAUAUCUUACUGUGGAAUAGGUCUAAACAGUAUUGGACCAGCGGAUCAUGGGAUGAAAGUUCACAUAUUUUCAACGCUGAUUCCUGAAAUGAGGCUAAAUUAUAUCUUCAAUUAUAGUUAUGUUACGAAUGAGAACGAAAGUUAUUUCACAUAUUCUCCUAAGAAUCCUAAAAUUGUAUCUCGAUACUUGCUGUCUGCCUCGGGACAGAUUCAGCUAACUAACAUGGAUUGGAGAAUUUCCAAGCAGUGGGAAUUUGUUUUGGUCUCAACCAAGACAGUGUGAUGUUUAUGCUUUUUGUGGGGCUUUCUCCAGUUGCAAACCCACAUCCUUGAACUACUGCAAAUGUUUGAAGGGCUUUGAGCCAAACCAGCAGAGUGAUUGGGACUUGCAGAUUUAUUCUGGUGGAUGUUCAAGAAGAACCAGUGUGAAGUGUGGGAAUGCCACUCGGGAGACGGGUUUCUAGAAGUAAAUAGCGGGUCAUUCCCUGAUAAUAGACAAUAUGAAGGUUUUCUAAGUAUCGAAAGUUGUAGAUCAGCCUGCUUAAAUGAAUGCCAGUGCACUGCUUAUGGCUAUGACAAUGGAUGUUCAAUCUGGCAUGGAGAUGUCUUGAAUCUGCAUGAAGUUGAAGCAAAUGAAGGUGAUGGAAGAACUCUAUACAUCAGAGCCGCAGCUUCUGACAUCAAGGAAAAACGUAAUAAUAGUAAUAAUAGAAUGAUUAUUCGUGUCGCAAUUAGUGAUCAUUAUUUUGGCGCCAUUAUCUUUAUGUUGUCAACAAAAUCUUCUUCUUCUCUUUGCAGGUGUAAUUAAGCCGUCCCCUUUGAUUGCAAUAGUCUCAACAAUCACUGGUUUAAUUGUUGUCAUUUUUGGCUAUUUCUUAUGGAAGAAAACUACGGGAAAGAAAAGGUACUGCUACCACCGAUCUCAUCUCUCUCUCUGUCUUUUUCUUUCAAACGUGUUCUAACACUAUGACUAAAACAGAGAGCAUAAGAAGAACCAUAAUGAGAGUAAAAGUAAAUUUGAUGUUGGAGGUGGAAAGGAUGAUGCAGAACUACCGAUCUUCGGUUUACGGGCUAUAGUAGCUGCUACAAACAACUUUGCUGAAGCUAAUAAACUCGGGGAGGGAGGAUUUGGCCCUGUUUACAAGGUGACACUUCCACCAUGUGCUUUAAAUACAAGUACAUUUUUCUUCUCCUGAACACCUUUGUUUAUUUCUGACCUAAACAAAUAUCCAAGGAGAAUUAAGGGACAAAAAUAAAUAGGAGUGUGCAGGAAAAAAAAAAGCUGUGCAAAAAUCAUUCCCCCUUUCGAAAAUAUGAUUUUUUUUACUUUGAACUUCAAAAAAUGUUUUCUCUUGUGCGCUUUUCUUCCUCUGUACAGGGAAUUCUGGCUGAAAAUCAAGAAGUAGCCAUUAAAAGGUUAUCAAAAAGGUCAGGCCAAGGACACGAGGAGUUCAUGAAUGAGUUAAAACUUAUUGCCAAGCUCCAACAUACCGGUCUCGUUAGGCUCUUGGGUUGCUGUCUUGAAGAUGAGGAAAUGAUAUUGAUCUACGAGUACAUGCCCAAUCGGAGCUUAGACAAACUUUUAUUUGGUAAAUACAAGCUUAUGACUUAUUAAUUCUUUGUUUCUGCAAAUUAUUUUCCUUGUGUGCAAAUGUCAUCUACUGCAAGAUGCACAUUAUGCACUGUGUCCAACAUUUUAUCUAAAAUGAAAAGAAAAACACUUGCUCAUCUUUCUUCGUGGUUUGUCCAAUCAGAUGCAUCUGAAAAAAUUGAACUAAAUUGGGGAAGACGUUUUCGAAUUAUAGAAGGCAUUGCUCAAGGAGUACUUUAUAUCCACAAGUACUCGAGAUUGAAAAUCAUCCACAGGGACCUAAAAGCAAGUAACAUAUUGUUGGAUGGAGACUUGAAUCCCAAAAUUUCAGACUUUGGAAUGGCAAGGAUUUUCGGGAUAAAUCAGAUUGAAGCAAAUACAAAUAGGGUUGUUGGCACAUAGUAAGUCUACAUAUAUCUGGCACAUGUUUUCAUUAUAGUAAUGUUCUAUUGCUUACUUCUCUACACACUGUCAAUUCAUUCUCAGCGGCUACAUGUCACCCGAGUAUGCGAGAUAUGGUCAUUUCUCAGAGAAAUUAGAUGUAUUCAGCUUUGGAGUGUUGUUGUUGGAGAUUGUAAGCGGAAAGAAGAAUACUGCUUUUUACUGCUUUGAACAUUCACCAACUCUUGCUGGAUGGGUAAGUACUGAAAAAUUAUUCUAAAACUCAUGAUCAUCCUGUCUUUAAGCCUUCCAAAUUCACAAAUGACCGUAAAUUCAACAUUUUAAUCAGGCAUGGGAGUUGUGGAAAGAAGAAAGAGGAAUGGAGGUGAUUGAUGAAUCAAUAAGGGAAACAUGCCAGCUGGAUGAAGCUUUUAGGUGUAUCCAUGUAGGGUUUUUAUGUGUUCAAGAAGCUCCAGCUGAUCGACCAACAAUGUCUUCGGUAAUUCGUAUGUUGCAGGGCAAUGAAUCUACAUCUCUUCCACCUUCCAAAGAACCUGCCUUUUCAACACACGGAAAUUCCAAUCUUGUUCGCUCUUCUGAAAUGCCUACCAUUUUUUCUCACAACUCAGUCACCAUGAGUUUGCCAGAAGGGCGAUAGGAGUUGAAAGAGUAGUGACUAGCAAGAGUUGAGAAAAUAGUAUAGUAUAUUAGAAUAAACACCGCGAACCAGAGCUAUUUGUGUGUUUUAUGGUUUUUUGCCUAUCCAAACUAAACUUACAAUAGCAGUAGAUUAAAUUUAUGUUAAGUAUUUUUCAGCUGCAAAUGCAGGCGUAACCGUACUUCAAUAUAUGGUCCGACCGCAUUCCUUGGCACAACCAUAUUUAUAUUAGUUUAAAAUGGAAUGUCACUUGUAUCAAAAGAAUAAAGAUGAGAUUUUUUUACACCUUCUAACUUUCAGAAGACAAAAACUAAAAAACAAGGGUAUGGAACAAAGGAUUUUACAUUACUAUAUCCAUAAUUGAUAUCAUGGAUUUUCCUAGGGUUGGAAUGGAAAAGUUGACAAUCAUCAUAUAGAAUCUACCGAAUGGCAAGUUGAUCAAUUUUUUAUCGAUGAGGAUUUGAACUUGAUGCCUCCUUUAUUAUUAGAAAAUAUCACUAAACACUUUAUGCUCCCGAUCAUGUUAAACUUUUAAGUUUUUUUUACAAGAGGAUUGGGCUGGUGAUGAUGGGCUUUCCGCCAGAAGAGGGGUUGCUGGCCUGCAAGAAUAAUUGGAUUCGAAUCCUCACAUUCCCCCCUGUCGAGCUGGAACACCGUUUGGUACGUGAGACGGGACGGGACGGAACGGGACGAGCCGUUCCGUCCCACGUUUGGUGCGUCUAAAAACUGUGGAACGGGUUGUCCCAUGGAAUGAAAUUUGGCUGAUUUUUUGUUCCACCUCUUCCCCCUGGAACGACCCGUUCCACAUCUGUGGAACACAAAUUUAUAAACAUUUUAUGACAAAAUUUCUUCUUAUCUUUUUCAAUAUUUACAUCAUUCGUUCCAUCCUGUUCCGUCUCGUCCCAUCCCGUCCUAUUCCGUUCCGUCCCAUCCCGUUUGCGUACCAAACGGUACCUCAAUGCACCAUGCAGAUCAAGUCAAUAAUCUCUUAUAUAUCUCUUAUAUAUAAAGCCAGCAUGCCAAUUUGGUGUAAUUGGCUUCGACAAAAAUAUUUGGACCAUAAUGCCUCUAGGCCAAAAACAAAUCAAAACAGCAAAAAUGAUUCCAUAAAAUAAUCCAAGGGUAAUUUUGUAAAUUUAGUUUUUAAUAAACUAAUGCCCUGCCUCUUCUACACUCUUCCAAACCGUUCUUUUCUCAGUUGCAUUCAUACCUCUUCGACCUAUUUUGGGAUUAGGUUUCUCUCAAACCCUAAUUUUUCUCUCCUUCUGAUCUCAUCUCUCUGCUCGCGCCGAUCAGUCGAACACCGUCCAGGAAUGCGUCUCCGAAUUCAUUAGCUUCGUCACCAGCGAGUAAUUUUCACCUCUCUCUCUAUCUCUCUUUCUGUCUCUACUGUUAUUGACUUUGCUUUUCAAUCGGAAUUUUUUGUGUUGAUUUUGAAUUGGGGUUUUUUGGGGUGUCUAGGGCCAGCGAUAAGUGCCAGAAGGAGAAGCGAAGGACCAUCAAAGGCGACGGUUUGUUGUGGGCGAUGGCCACGUUAGGGCUUGAGGACUAUAUCGAGCCCCUCAGGAUUUACUUAGCUAGGUACAUUGAGGUAUUAUUCUUUAACUUUUGCCUUUUAUUCCUCCUUUUCCUUUUACUUUCAAUUCAGUUUACAUUUUAGCAUUUUUCAAAUGGAAAUUUACAGUUUGGUUGUACCAUUUUCUGGGGUUUUUUUUUUUAACUUUCCGUUUUUAAUUUAUUCAAUGGUGUUUUCCUUAUCAGUUCAAUCUAACACUAUCGUCAAAUCUCUUUCUGAACGCUGCUACAGAUGCUUGAUUUCUUCAAGUCGGCAACGAUUGCAGAGGUAAGCUCUCUGAUGAAAUCAUCUACUUUACACUUUAUUUCUUUUUACAUAUGGCUAAAUUUUUUUUUCAUGGAUUUAUGUAUUUGUUUCCUGUGAAUUCGAAUUCAAAUUUGAUGAAUUUUUAUUUGCGUGUUUGUGUUGCUUCUGUUCUUUAGCUACAAGCAAAUUAUCUGCAUAUAAUUAGUAUUUAGGAUCUAAUUUUUUUGGCUUUUCAGGAGCAGCGGCAGGAGGUACCUUUUCUUUUUUCUAAUUUUUAUCCAAGAUAUGAAAAUAUUGUAUGAAUGUUAUGUACGAUUAUCACCAAAUGUAUAUAUCUUUCUUGGAAUUCUUGAGAAAAUCCAAGCUGAAUUCCAUUCUGAUUGAAAGAAAUUUAAUACCACAAAGCUUGGCUCCCGUUCUGAUUUGAAGAAAUUCUUUUCUUGGAUUAAACUACUAGAUUAAUUGUAUUUUGUGGGUUUAAUUAGGGAUGUUUUUAGGGUCUUUUUUUAAGAAUAUAUUGAAUCAGUUUAUUUAUUAUUUACAUUAUUCCAUUGUGAAUGUUUGAAGGUGAUCUGAAUUCACCUGUUGUGAUCACAGUUUGUGAUUUUGCACUCCCUGAUGGCAUGUCACUACUCGAAGCUAGAGAGACUUCUUCAGCCCUUGGUUAGUUAAAGCCUACAUUAGAGUGAAUAUCAUGGAUUCUCGUAUUUAGUAAUAACUUGAUUUAUGCAACCCUCAAGUUUAUUUAGCCAAUAUAAAUUGAACUUUUUCCUGCUUUAAUUUAGGGGCAGUUGCUAUUUCAUCCCACAGAUGGAGACGCUAUUGAUAUUGAGUAAUCUUCGAAGAAAGUCACCUCUUCAGAGAAGUAAUCUGGUAGCAUUUGUUAAGCAAUUUCCAAGGUACGGACUUCACCAAUCCCAGGUUUUAGUUUGUUUCUAAUUUAUUGAGUUUUUAGGGGCAUAUUCUGUAAUUAAAGGGGAAUCAGGGGUCCAAUUUGGUUUCGAAAUCUUGAAUCUGAUCAAAUGAAAGAAUCAAAAUUCAAUUCAAAGAUAAUAUGCCACCAAUCAUAGGACUCUGACUUCCAACUCUGCUGCUGCACUGAAGCAUCAUACUUUUCUUCAUACGUUGGAAACAUAUGCUUUUUUUGUUUGUUUUUUUUUUUACUGAUAUUAGUAGCUUUUUAGGUAGCCGACCCCACUUAGUGGGAAAAGGCUUUGUUGUUGUUGUUGUUAUUAGUAGCUUUUUAGGGUUUAACUAUUGGAUUUCACAGAUUCAUUAUAGACACAUUAAAUAGUUACAUUUUUAAUUCGUAUUUCAUAACUUGGUUGCUUGAUUCUAAUGUUGAUUCGUUACAACAGAAGUGAACUUAUUCUACUUUAAGCAUGGAAUUUUUUCUUUUGUUUUUAUUGUUGUUGCCUUGAUUGUGGUUAUCUGAUUGAUUAAUACUCCAUGAUAUAUUGAGCAAUAUCGUGCGGCUCAAGAAUUUCGUAUGUGUUUACGCGUAUUUUUGUACUCUGAAUAAUUCUAAUCAAAUUCCAUUGCUCCUAAGCUAAGGUCAGAAUUUGUAGCAUAUACUUACCAAUUAUCCAAAGCUGGAUAUUAAGGUCUUUAAGAUUAAUCUCUCUUUGUAUGUGUAGCAUCUGCUUGGAAAAGGUUUCAACUUUAUUUUUUAUUUGUUAGAUGAUCAAUUGAUGUAUUUUAUGAAAGUUGAUCUGCAAGAUGUAAAGAUGAUUUCUUUGUUUAUGUAUACUGUUUAAUUAUAUCAAUGGAAAUUGGUGCUGCUCAUCCCCACAAACAUUUUGUACAUGUGUGGCAUUAAUAUAUUUUGUUUUUUGAUUGAAUUUGUUUUCAUUCAAUGGGGUUAGUGAGCUAAACAGCAAGUCGCUUUUUAAUCGUGUUUAAAUUGAAGUCCUAAUUUCGUUGGUUUGUUCAUAAUUAGUGUGUUAUGUUGUUUUCCUGUGUGUUUUAUGUGUUUGUUAAUUUAUGGGAGUCUUCACAAGAAAUGUUAUGUACAAAAAUAUUUUGCUUCCAUCAAAAUGUGUGAUAAGGUUACAUUCAUUCUUUUAAUGUUUAAUUGACUUUUCAAAUCCACGUAGAUAAAUACAUUUAAAUUGUAUAAGUCGAGCAUAGAAUGCUGUAAUUAUAAAAGGGCCAUCCACACGCGCGUGAGCGUGUGCAGGGAGGCUAGUCUAUAUAUAAAGCCAGCAGCGGGAUGAACAGUAUUUGGUGUCAUUGUCUUUGACAAAAAUUCUACAUCAAAUAAUCCAGGGACAUUUUCGUCAUGUAAACAGUAUUUAAUUAUAAUUUGGGGUUAAUGUCUGUUAGGAUCAUUGGAAUACCCUCGAGGUCAAUUGGGUUACCCUCCUUUUCUUCUGCUUCAUUUCCUUUGCUCCGUUUGUAUCGGCCUCCUCUGCCUCUGUUUCUUCUGGUUCCGCUGCUGAUGCUGCUUCUUCUUCAUCUGCUGCAUGCAGAUAUUCUUCUCCUCCUUAAUUCAUCCACUCGAAAAACUUCAUUUCAUCAUAAACUUUUUCAUACGGCAACGAAAUCGCACAAGGUCGGAGCCUAUAGAUUCGUAUCCGAAUUUUCUUCCAUCUGAUAUGAUACCCACACCUCAAAAUCAACUGUGCUCAAAGAUGGAGACUAGAACCGUGACGGUUUUUUGGCGGAGUUUUGCUGAUUCCGCCCAAUCCCGCAUGAAUUUGGUCUCGGCCCAAGAGAGAAAGUUGAUCACUCUCCUGACGAUCUUUCUACCUAUACUUGAGUUUGUUGAGUGAAUUGAUUUUUUUUUUAAGUUUUUGGUUUGUGGGUUUUUAAUUUUUUUUUUUUUGUGCAGGUAAAGGAAGAACCCAGAAGAAAUAUGUUCACUAAGGGUGCGUUUGGUACGUGGGACGGGACGGGACGGAACGGGACGAGGUGUUCCGUCCCGCGUUUGGUGCGCCAAAAAUGGGUGGAACGGGCUGUUCCACGGGACAGAUUUUGGGUGUUUUUGCGUCCCACCUGCCCCCCUGGAACGAGUUUGUUCCACGUUUGUGGAACACAAUGUUUUACCAUUUUAAGACAAAUAUACCCCAUGUCUUUUUCAAAAAUUACACCUUCGUUCCGUCCCGUCCCGUUCCGUCCCGUCCCAUUCCGUCCCGUCUGCGUACCAAACGCACCCUAAAGGACUUAAUAGGAGCGCCCUUAAUUGGGUUAGAGAGGUUUGUGAAGAAAAUUCAUUACCCUCUUUCUUUUUUCGAAUUAAAAAAAAUAUAAAGUAGGGUUUAAUUUUUACUGUUGUUUGAUUAGUCCUCAGCAGUAUUCGUGGUAUUUUAGUUUUCUGGUGCAAGUCAAAUGGAUCAAGGUUUGUUCCCUUUCACUAAUUUCGUUUCAACUUCUGUUGAAUCUAGAUCAUCAGCUUAAUUUCAAGGAUUAAUUACUCAAAAUUUGAUGAAACCCUAAUUGCAGCUGUGCUAUAUUUCAUCGUUAAAUGUUUAUCCAAUCUCUGUGUGGUGCAUAUAUAUUUAAUUUUUUUAUUUUAUUUCUCUCUUCUCCUUUGUAAUUUUGGUAGGGUUUAGGGUUUAGAUUGUUUGGUUAAAGAUUGGAUCUUUUUACACUGCUUCUCUCUCUGUGUCGAUCGUCUGUCGUGUGAAGAGUUUCUUUUUCUGGCUGAUUGCACUGUUUCAGAUGGUUUCUCUGUUUUUUUUUUCUUUGAAUGGGAAGAAAAUUUGCAGAUCGAUGGCAAAGAAGUAUAGGCUAAAGUUGCCUGAUGUUCUUACCAACCGCAAGUCAGUAUCCCCUGAAAACGAUGCUCUGGCUUUUUUACAAAUUAAGCAUGUAUGCAAAUUGGGAGUGGUUGUCCUGCGAUACUGGUAGUUUGAAAGAGCACUGUUUAACCUUCCCAUCCAUCUCAAACCACACAUUCCUUGAGAGUCGACGGGUAAGAAAGCGAACUAUUUUGUAUUGUGACGAGUCUUAGAUUAGGGAAUUUACCUCAUUAUCCAUUAGAAAAUAUGUAGUCUGAAAUGGAAAAAGCAUAAGAUGGUUGCGGUACAACAUUUUUCACGUGGCAUUCUGUUUAAAGAUUCCAAAAGAACUGGAACCAAACAUAUUCGUUCGGAAAUCAAAGUCUCAUUUGUUAGUUGGUCAUUGCUCUCACAUCUUCGAUCUUCAUCUGUAAUUAAACUCAACCGCAUGUCCUAAUUAUUUGUGCAAUCCGUGUAUUCAUCACCUAGCUAUUUUCCAAUGCUUGGUUUGUGUUAUAUUUCUCUUACAAUGCUACAAUGCAUCAUAUUUCGUGUCCUAAUUAGUAUGCAUCUUUUAAAAAACCGAAUCCAUACCGUUUUGUACCAAAACAAAACCAAUUCUGAAAAGUUUGGUACAACUUCUGCACGCCCUUGCAUACUGAUCUGAACCCUACCAAAUUGUAAUUUGGUUCGGGGUUAGACAGAGUAAUGGUUGAUGAAGGAAGGAGAAUUACACGGUCACGAAAGAGUUUUCACAAGAAAUGUUGUGUACAAAGAUAUUUUGCUUCUAUCAAAUAUAUAAUAAGGUUACAUUGAUUUUAUUAAUGUAUAAUUCACUUUUCAAAUCUACAUAGAUAAAUACAUUUAAAUUGUAUAAGUUGUGCGUAAAACAAUGUCAUUAUAAAAGAGUCUUCUCCAUGUGCGUGAGCGCGUUCAAGGAGACUAGUAAAUCAAUUAAACUAACUGUUAGUGAAUAUAAAUAGACAGUGAAUAUCGCUUCGAUCUAGAAAAUUGAGGGACCUAGGAUAGUUUCACUUACAAGCUACAGCUGCAAAAUAAACCAACAUAGCAGUAUGGAUCAACAAACGAAUGCACCACUCUAACGGCGUCAAUAACAUAAAUUUGAGUCGGAUUGCCACCAAUGUAAUGUAAGAGUCAGUUUGGUUACAAUUAGCACCAGUAAGGACAUCAGUUUGAUGUCGAAUAAAGCUUCCUGCCAGUUUCGGCAUUAUUGUUCUCCACAACCCUGAAACCCAUGGUUGUGUUGAUUCUUUAUCGGGACUAGCUUUUGUGUUUUCAGCUAAAGCAGAAAGAAAAAGAAUCGAGACCAAAGGGGAAAUAAAAUGAAAACUGUUUGGCAUUCCUAAUAUGAUUGUUGAUUCUCUUACAAGUUUUCUCGAUUGGCUUUGGGCAACGUGUAAACUCAUAUUCCCUCUCUUUUCUUUUGUUCUUCAGUCAUCAAACAUUCAUAUCGAUUCACAAUAAGAAUGGUCCAACCACUAAUAACAAUUUAGUUUAGUGAUAUUUUGUCUUUGUAAUUCUAGAAGUCGAGUUCUUGUCUCAUGGGUUAAAUCGCUAAAUAAGAAUGUUGUCGAUAAGGUUGGUAACAUUGUUUCUUGUUACUUUUUUUCUACCUGAUUUGGUUUCCCUUAUAUUUUGGAUCCCUACAAUUGUGAAGUUACCCAUUUUGAUGCAAAAUGGGGGCAGGGUACUUAUGCUUUUUGUUUUGGAGAGAUAGUCUCAUCUUAUCCAACUCAUGUGUCAAUCUUUUAUUGAAUAUAAGAUUUAGUUUUUAAAAGCGUAAACAACGUUCAUUGGGUGAGUGACGUCACUAAAACUCUGCACACAAUGCAAAAGAGACCCUCUGGUUAGUUUGACAAGUAAUUCCUGUUCAGUCAAAAGAGAUAAAUAAUGUGGCUUAGUAAGCAUUGGAUAGAUCAUGCUUGUGAGAGUAGUAGGAGGUCUUGUUCGUUGCUCAUUGACCAUUACUUGCUUUAUUCCUUGAUUUUUAAAAAAUUAUUGCCUGGGACAUGAACAUCAGGUUAAUUAUUGCAUAUGUCAGUAUUGUGUUAACUUUGAUGAAAUUACAUCUAUAUGUGCGGUAGGAAUCAAAUUGAUCAACAUUAUACAUUAUACGAGGUAUGACGAUAAUUGAUAACGCCACGUAAUACUCUAGCUACAAAUAUUAAAACAUUUCCCUAAUAUCACGCCGUUCCUCACGUUUUGCAUCCACGCACAAGCAAAUGUGAAAGACGUCAUCGAUUGAUUUCAAACGUAAAUGAUGAAACUGAUGACCCAAGGAUAAACUGCAAAAUAAUUGGAUCGCAUCACACAUUGGCAAUACUAUAUAGUACGUCACGUGUCGGAAAAGUCAGUUGUUGGAAGCAGCCUACCAACAGGCUACAUGUAACCACGUUACUGUCUGAGGGAGAGGAGUGGGACCAACUCAGUUUCCUCAUCGAGCAAAAUAACUGAAGUUAACAAGUGUCACGCGUCCGUUAGAUAAUGACUUAUUUUAUUUUAUUUUUGUUAAUUAAUGAAAAAUACAGUUGCUCCGCAACUCACUCUCUUCUCUUGUUGAGUGAUUUGAGGACCAGUCUCUUCUCACUUGAUCAGCCUCUGAAUUCUGGUCAACCCCCAAAUGACGAUCUUGUCCUUCUUCACCAGAGCACAAGAGCUUUCAAUGGCUGCCCACCCUGUUGCCUCCAAGCUUCUGGUGCUCUGUACUAUCAGGUUCUCAGUUUUCUUGUUUACCAUGUUAUUUUCUUUUCGAUCUGUUUGGCUUCUGAGAAAAAUGCAUGACAAGAAAAUGAGUUGGGUUGAAAUAUUUUCUAUCAUAGCGUAUAAAGACACAUUCUUUUUUAGUUUUGGUUGUAUUUCAACGAAGCAUCAUUUUUUUCCUAGUUCAGGCAAAAUGUCAUAGCUCAUAAGCUCUGAAUCUAAAUUUUUCUUUGAAUCUCAGUUUUCUAAGCCAACAGACGCUAGACUUUGUUUGGUUACUGAGAAAAAUAGGCUGCAAAUGUUUGUUUUGGAGUCCUAGCUAUGCUGACUUUAUUUAAUUAGAGAAAAUAGACUCCAAAAUGUAUGCUCAGUAGCCUACAGGCCCCACCCCGUUUCCACUGAGAACCCUAGAAAUUUAUAUAGUGAAUAAUUUCUAAAAUCUACAGGCCCCAUCCCGUCUCCACCGAGUGCCCUAGAAAAUUGAACCUUUCCUCUCCCCAGCUGUUUUUGGCUUCGUAUGUGGAUUAUUUUUCCCUAUGAUUAUGGCUUUCGAAUUCAAUCAAAUUAGCUAUCUUCUGUUCCCAGCGCAUUUCGCGGCCGAGCUGGAAUUAAAGAAAUCGGCAGGCAAACGCAAAGCCCUGCUAAUCAAUUUGUUGUUGGAGGAUUUAGAUUGUGUACUGAUUAAUUUGUUUGCAGGAGGAUCAAUUGGUACAAACAAGGAUCGAAACAAGAGGAUGUUUGGUGGAGAAAAUGGCAUGCGAAAAUCAUUACCUUCGAUUAAUCAUGUCUUGAUGGGUUCAGAUUGUACAAAUUUUUUUAUUGGAAUUCAGGCCAAAAACGGACGUCUACUUGUCUAUGAAUGUUGUAAACUUUGUUGUAAUCGGAAUUUGAAAAUUUUAACAUAUUUUUGUUUUUGUGAUCAAUUUUUGUUAGUUAAACUUGUAUGGAUCGGAAAAGAUUAUGAUAAUUAUCAACAUUUAAGCUCAAAGCGUCACUAACACAUGAACCAAAAUUUGUAUUAGAGUAAUGCUAGAAAUACCAUAUUUCUAAACCAAAUUUUGUAACCAAAUGAUGUGAAUGUUGAUGAUUGGAUUUUUACUUGAAUGUUUUUAAUGUGCUUAUUUCCUAUUUGUUCCACAUUAUUUAAUUUAAACAAUUUGGUUUAGAAAUUUGGUCGUCCUAGCAUUACCAGUUGCAAUAAGCAUGAGUGCUUAGUACGGUACAUUAGCUUGAAGUUGAAGCAAUCUAACUCGAACAUGUUCUAAACCUAACUCAUACCUCCAUCUCUUCUCGGGUUUUGGAUAUGUGAUGCCUCCAGGGUUUACACAUUGUAGACUAUAGAGUAUUGAUGAAUUUGAACAGAACCGUAACCGUAGAGUAUUGAUGAAUUUGAAUAGAACCGCAAUACUAUCAGAAGCUUUGACAGAGGGAGGCCAAUGUUCAUGCCCUUUCCCAUGCAUUUAAGUUUCCAAAGACUUUGUUCAUUUUCCAGCUAAUGAACCGUAUGUGAAGGGUUGAAUAGUUGACUUAGUUGAUUUGCAAUGAUCAUCACAAAAAGGGCAUAUAGGUUAAGUUCCAGUAACAUGCAUACGGUAAAUCUUUGCCUGCCUGCUGAAUUCUUUGUGCAGCCAUGAAUACCAAACCAAACUCAAAGUUCGUGUUCUCCGUUAUUUUAUUAUGUGCAUUUCUCGAGUACCAUGUUUACCUAGCAGCUGCCACGAUCAGCGAAAACCAUUCUCUCUCGGGCAAUCAAACCAUUGUCUCCCCAGGUAGGAUUUUUGAGCUCGGUUUCUUCAAACCAGGUAAACUUUCAAACUUCUACAUAGGCAUGUGGUACACCGACCGAGUAGUAUCCGAGAGGACCAUUGUUUGGGUGGCAAACAGGGAAAACCCAGUUUCCGAUAUAUUUUCUUCAGUUCUAAUGAUUUCAGAUGGUAAUUUAGUCCUGCUUAACUAGUCCAAAGCGAUUGUUUGGUCAACGAAUUUAACCUCCUCCUCCUCCGCCACUGCAUGUCUUUUGGAUACCGGAAACCUGGUCUUGAGAGCCGAGUCUAGUAAUAGUUCAGAGCCGUUAUGGCAGAGCUUUGAUCAUCCAACGCAUACUUGGCUGCCAGGAGGUAGAAUUAGGUUUAACACUGUUACCAAACAAACCCAAAUUCUUACUUCAUGGAAGAGUUCGGAGGAUCCUGCACCAGGUCUUUUCUCGCUCGAGUUAGACCCGAACGGAAGCAGUGCGUUUUUCAUAAUGUGGAAUAGGUCUAGGCAGAAUUGGACUAGUGGAUCAUGGGAUGCAAAAUUAAGGGUUUUCCGCUUGGUAAGUACGGGGCUCAAUAAAAAAAUAUACAACCUCAGCUAUGUUACCAACGCAACCGAAGGUUAUUUCACCCAUUCUGUUUAUGAUCCUAGGAGAAUAUCUCGAUUCGUGUUGCUUACUUCGGGCCAGAUUCAACAGCUGACAUGGAUUGAGAAUUCCACGCAAUGGAAUUUGGUUUGGUCUCAACCGAGAAAGCAAUGUGAAGUUUAUGAUUUGUGUGGGGCCUUCGGAAGUUGCAAUGAGGAAGGUCCCCUCGCCUGUAAUUGCUUGAAAGGUUUUGAGCCGAAGGUGAUGAGAGAUUGGGAUUUAAAGGACUACUCUGGUGGGUGUUCGAGAAAAACCGAUCUGCAUUGUGGAAAUGCUACUACUGCGAGCAGAAAGCCAGACCGGUUUCUUGAACUUCCUAGCAUGUCAUUGCCUAAAAAUAAUUACACUAUGGAGGUUGGGAGUAUUGCGGAAUGUGAACCGUUCUGCCUUAGAAGCUGUUCUUGCACUGCUUUUGCUUAUGACAGCAGCGGAUGUUCGAUUUGGAACGGAGAACUCUUGGAUUUGCAACAACCAACAUCAAGUGACAAACAAGGAAGAACUUUAUACCUCAGACUUGCAGCUUCUGAGUUUGAGAGUUCUCAAAGUAACAAGGGAUUGAAUGUUGGUGUUGUGAUUGCAAUUGUCUCAAUAAUCACAGGUUUGCUGGUUGUCAUUUUUGGCUAUUACUUACGGAAGAAAACAUUGGAAAAGAAAAGAGAGCAUAGGAAAAGAAAUGGUGAAAAGAACGAUGCAGAACUGCCUAUCUUUGGUUUAAGGGCUAUAAUAGCUGCUACAAACAAUUUCGCCGAAGCUAAUAAACUCGGAGAGGGAGGAUUUGGCCCUGUCUACAAGGUGACACUUCCAUUGUGUACUCUAAAUACUAUUAUAUUUUUCUUCUCAUACACCCUUGUUUAUUUAUAAUUUUUGAAUCGAAUAAUUCCAAAAAGACGAAUCACGGGACAAAUUACACAUAGAUGUGAGAAGAAAAAAGGGUGUUCAAAAAUAAUUUUAUCCUUUAAAAAUUACGACCGUUCCUUUUUGCUUUUACAAACUUUUCUCUUGUGCACUUUUCUUCCUCUGUACAGGGAAUUUUGGGUGAAAAUCAAGAAGUAGCCAUAAAAAGGUUAUCAAAAAAGUCAGGCCAAGGACAACAGGAGUUCAUGAAUGAGUUAAAACUUAUUGCUAAGCUCCAACAUACCAAUCUCGUUAGGCUAUUGGGUUGCUGUCUUGAAGACGAGGAAAUGAUAUUGAUCUACGAGUACAUGCCCAAUCGGAGUUUGGACAAACUUUUGUUUGGUAUGUGUACUUAUAUAUAUGCAUGAUAAUGACGUAUUGAUUCUUUGUUUCUGCAAAUUGUUUUCCUUGUGUUUAAAUGCCGUGUACUGCAAGAUCAAAUGCACCGUGUCCAACUUUUGAUCUAAAAGGAAAUUAAAGAAAAACACUUGCUCAUCUUUCUUCAUGGUUUUUCCAAUCAUCAGAUGCAUCUGAAAAAGGAGAACUAGAUUGGGGAAGACGUUUUCAAAUUAUAGACGGCAUUGCUCAAGGAGUACUUUAUAUCCACAAGUACUCGAGAUUGAAAAUCAUCCACAGGGACCUAAAAGCAAGUAACAUACUGUUGGAUGGAACCUUGAACCCCAAAAUUUCAAACUUUGGAAUGGCAAGAAUUUUCGGGAUGAAUUAGACUGAAGCAAAUACAAAUAGGGUUGUUGGCACAUAGUAAGUCUACAUAUAUCUCGCACACGUUUUCAUUCAAGUAAUGUUCUAUUGCUUACUUCUAUACAUACUGUCUAUUCAUGUGCAGCGGUUACAUGUUACCCGAAUAUGCGAGAUAUGGUCAUUUCUCUGAGAAAUUAGAUGUAUUUAGCUUUGGAGUGUUGUUAUUGGAGAUUGUAAGCGGAAAGAAGAAUGCUGAUUUUUAUCGCUUUGAACAUUCAUCGACUCUUGCUGGAUGGGUAAGCACUGAAAAAUUACUCUAACUCAUUAUCAUUAUGUUUUUAAGCCUUCCAUAUUCGCAAAUGACCGUAAGUUCAACAUUUUUAUUAGGCAUGGGAGAUAUGGAAAGACGGAAGAGGAACGAAGGUGAUUGAUGAAUCAGUAAGGGAAACAUGCCUGCUUGAUGAAGCUUUGAAGUGCAUCCAUGUAGGGUUUUUGUGUGUUCAAGAAGCUCCAGCUGAUCAACCAACAAUGUCUUCAAUAAUUCGUAUGCUGCAGGGCAAUGAAUCUACAUCUCUUCCAUCUUCCAAAGAACCUGCCUUUUCAACACACAGAAAUUCCAGUCAUGUUCACUCUUCUGAAACGCCUACCAUUUUUUCCCAAAACACAGUCACCAUGAGUUUGCCAGAAGGUCGAUAGGCAUUGGAAGAGCAAUGACUGGCAAGCAGUUUAGAAAAUAGUAUAGUAUAUUAGAAUAAACACCCCGACG
rnacentral:lncRNA from 1 species